ensembl:ncRNA T02E9.28 ncRNA
CUUCUGGAGAUUUCCGAAAAAAAAUCUGGAUAAGAAAAGACCCUUGGGAUGAGUGGAUACGUGGAACUUUACUAUUUUUCGUUCCCAACUGGGUUAAUUCGGUUAAGGAAAGAAAGAAGGAGCUUAAGUGGACGAACAAC